rnacentral:rRNA from 1 species
GAUGAACGCUGGCGGCGUGCCUAAUACAUGCAAGUCGAGCGAACGGACGAGAAGCUUGCUUCUCUGAUGUUAGCGGCGGACGGGUGAGUACCACGUGGAUAACCUACCUAUAAGACUGGGAUAACUUCGGGAAACCUUAGCUAAUACCGGAUAAUAUUUUGAACCGCAUGGUUCAAAAGUGAAAGACGGUCUUGCUGUCACUUAUAGAUGGAUCCGCGCUGCAUUAGCUAGUUGGUAAGGUAACGGCUUACCAAGGCAACGAUGCAUAGCCGACCUGAGAGGGUGAUCGGCCACACUGGAACUGAGACACGGUCCAGACUCCUACGGGAGGCAGCAGUAGGGAAUCUUCCGCAAUGGGCGAAAGCCUGACGGAGCAACGCCGCGUGAGUGAUGAAGGUCUUCGGAUCGUAAAACUCUGUUAUUAGGGAAGAACAUAUGUGUAAGUAACUGUGCACAUCUUGACGGUACCUAAUCAGAAAGCCACGGCUAACUACGUG